AUUGAACGCUGGCGGCAGGCCUAACACAUGCAAGUCGAACGAGUGGCGGACGGGUGAGUAAUGUCUGGGAACCUGCCUGAUGGGGGGGGAUAACUACUGGAAACGGUAGCUAAUACCGCAUCCCAUCGGCUGUGCCCAGAUGGGCUUAGCUAGUAGGUGGGGUAACGGCUCACCUAGGCGACGAUCCCUAGCUGGUCUGAGAGGAGGACCAGCCACACUGGAACUGAGACACGGUCCAGACUCCUACGAGAGGCAGCAGUGGGGAAUAUUGAACAAUGGGCGCAAGCCUGAUGCAGCCAUGCCGCGUGUAUGACGAAGGCCUUAGGGGUGUAAAGUACUUUCAGUGGGGAGGCGUUACCCGCAGAAGAAGCACCGGCAAACUCCGUGCCAGCAGCCGCGGUAAGUC
rnacentral:rRNA from 1 species